CUCUGGCCAUGGGUCCCUUUUCAGGUCAGCAAGAGUGCCGUGCAGAGCAGGAGCCCCAUCCAAUGCUCUACAGGUCUGGACUCCUGCCAAUCCUCCCUUGGCCAAGGCCUCCAGAAGUCAGAGAGCGAGGGAACAUAUGAACUAUCUAUCCUGGUCUACUGUCAAUCUCCUUCCACUGAAAUAUCAGCUCCACAAGGCUAGUGGUGUCAUGGAUUUGCUCACUGCUGUAGGUGCCUAGUGAAUAUUUGCUGGAAAUGGAAUACAUGGG
rnacentral:lncRNA from 10 species